AGACCCGAAACCCGGUGAUCUAGCCAUGGGCAGGUUGAAGGUUGGGUAACACUAACUGGAGGACCGAACCGACUAAUGUUGAAAAAUUAGCGGAUGACCUGUGGCUGGGGGUGAAAGGCCAAUCAAACCGGGAGAUAGCUGGUUCUCCCCGAAAGCUAUUUAGGUAGCGCCUCGUGAAUUCAUCUCCGGGGGUAGAGCACUGUUUCGGCUAGGGGGCCAUCCCGGCUUACCAACCCGAUGCAAACUGCGAAUACCGGAGAAUGUUAUCACGGGAGACACACGGCGGGUGCUAACGUCCGUCGUGAAGAGGGAAACAACCCAGACCGCCAGCUAAGGUCCCAAAGUCAUGGUUAAGUGGGAAACGAUGUGGGAAGGCCCAGACAGCCAGGAUGUUGGCUUAGAAGCAGCCAUCAUUUAAAGAAAGCGUAAUAGCUCACUGGUCGAGUCGGCCUGCGCGGAAGAUGUAACGGGGCUAAACCAUGCACCGAAGCUGCGGCAGCGAACGUAUCACUUAAAGCGAUUCAGCGGGUUACGAUUGACGGAGCGAAGCGACGUCAAAGCGUAUACAAAGUCGAGUCGGUUUAAGGAUACGUUCGUUGGGUAGGGGAGCGUUCUGUAAGCCUGCGAAGGUGGCCUGUGAGGGUUGCUGGAGGUAUCAGAAGUGCGAAUGCUGACAUAAGUAACGAUAAAGCGGGUGAAAAGCCCGCUCGCCGGAAGACCAAGGGUUCCUGUCCAACGUUAAUCGGGGCAGGGUGAGUCGACCCCUAAGGCGAGGCCGAAAGGCGUAGUCGAUGGGAAACGGGUUAAUAUUCCCGUACUUGGUGUUACUGCGAAGGGGGGACGGAGAAGGCUAUGUUGGCCGGGCGACGGUUGUCCCGGUUUAAGCGUGUAGGUGUGUGUUCCAGGUAAAUCCGGUUCACUUUAACACUGAGGCGUGAUGACGAGGCACUACGGUGCUGAAGCAACAAAUGCCCUGCUUCCAGGAAAAGCCUCUAAGCAUCAGGUAACAUCAAAUCGUACCCCAAACCGACACAGGUGGUCAGGUAGAGAAUACCAAGGCGCUUGAGAGAACUCGGGUGAAGGAACUAGGCAAAAUGGUGCCGUAACUUCGGGAGAAGGCACGCUGAUAUGUAGGUGAAGUGAUUUACUCAUGGAGCUGAAAUCAGUCGAAGAUACCAGCUGGCUGCAACUGUUUAUUAAAAACACAGCACUGUGCAAACACGAAAGUGGACGUAUACGGUGUGACGCCUGCCCGGUGCCGGAAGGUUAAUUGAUGGGGUCAGCGCAAGCGAAGCUCCUGAUCGAAGCCCCGGUAAACGGCGGCCGUAACUAUAACGGUCCUAAGGUAGCGAAAUUCCUUGUCGGGUAAGUUCCGACCUGCACGAAUGGCGUAAUGAUGGCCAGGCUGUCUCCACCCGAGACUCAGUGAAAUUGAACUCGCUGUGAAGAUGCAGUGUACCCGCGGCAAGACGGAAAGACCCCGUGAACCUUUACUAUAGCUUGACACUGAACAUUGAGCCUUGAUGUGUAG
rnacentral:rRNA from 1 species